AAUCCAUGGUGUGGGCAGUCUCUUAAUAAAUCUUUGUAUCUUUCCCAAGCAUCGAAAAUGGAUUCACUAUCUUGUUGGGUGAAUCUAGUUAUUUGGUUUCGAAGGAC